UGCGAAUGUCAAACGAAGUAGAGAAGUUGAAACGAAAGAAUUUCUGCGUUGUUCACGGGUCGAAAAACUGAAAAAUUGUUGUGAAAAUUUUGUACUUUUCUGAACGAAAAUAGUGAAAAAAUAAAGUUAAAAAUUUCAUGAAAUCAUUUCAACGAAAUGAAGGGCACGUGUUUGUGUUAAAAGUGUUACGCUGCGUUUAAUUAUUGGAAAAACUUAAAAUCUAUAGUGCAACUUGUUAAAGAAAGAAAUACAUACCUAAGUUCAUAAAAACCAAACCGAUCUAUAAAUUAUUGAAAUUGUUAGCGUCUAUAAUGCAAUAAAUCGCAUAGACCAAUAUAGGUACUGCAAGAAUUUCGAGUGUCGAAUUUCGUUUGCCGGCAGUGGUGUUGGCCAAACGGCGGUGCUCAGCAGCUGAAUUGCGAAAUAAAAAUUUGUGCCAACUAAACAAUAAAUAUUCCUACUAAAUUUAACGUAAUAACACGCAAUUAUUACAACAACAAAAAGCGCUAGGAAAAAAGAGAGUAAUAGCGGUUGGCGCAAUUAGCACGUAAAUUGUUACAAAAAUUUGGCAGUGUUUCAAGGCAAGUGCUUCAACUACGACAAACUCUUCACAAUUUUUUUUUGCGUCAAGAGUGGCGCGACUCGUUAUUAACACGCACACAAGUGAUUAAGUGUUAAAGUCGAGUUAGUGUGCGACGUUAAUGGCCGAUGGAAAUGUUAUGUCAGCAGCUUCUAUAGGACAUGCAGCUGCUGACUACUAUUCAGUAGCACCAGCAACAGCGGCAAUAACAGCACCAUCAGGAAUGGCCACCAAUGCCAGUGUAGGUGGCGUCAUGCAGACCAACAGUGGCGUUGCAGUUUCCACCGUGGGCGGUGCCAGUGCUAUGAGCAUCAUCGGUAGUGGAAGUAUGAGUGGCAGCAAUAUUAAUUUGAAUGCGGCUUCUAUGGCGGCAAGCACUGCGGUGGCCGCGGCAGCAGCAGGGACGGGGACAACAGCUGGAGCCGCGUCAGCUGCCAGUGGCAUUGGCAACAAUCAAGGUUAUCACCAGUUGAGUGUGACAAUUGAAGAAGCUUCAUUGCGCAAUAAUGGUUUUCUAAAACCUAAUCCAUACGUUGAAUUGGUAAUCGAUAAUAAAAGUAAACGCAAAACUGAUGUGGUGAAGAAUACUUAUCUACCCAAAUGGAACGAGGAGUUCACAGUGCUGAUCACUACCAGCUCUGUGCUGCACAUCAAAGUACUUGACCACUCCAGUUUUCGCAAGGACACUUUGCUAGGCGAGCGCACCAUCCACUUGGCGCACGUGCUGCAACAAUUUAAUGGCAGAUGCGAAUUUCUUGAACUUACAAUGGAUCUGAUAGCCACUUCCAAAUCAGAUAAUCGGCAAACAAAAGUCGGUGAACUUGUCGCAGUGCUCAACGGACUCAAGCUGGACAUGCCCGGCGCGGUGCAACAAAAUGGUAAUGGCGUAUCAAUGCUGCCACCUCCCAACGAAGGCGCUGUGUUGCCGCCUGCUGCCGGUCGCAGUUACAUGAUACAAGGUGGCAUACGUGCGCGCAUGCGCGUGCGCAGUAUCGAAAAUGGCAUGCUAGCCGCAUCAGCAGCUUCGGCAGGGAGUGGAGGUAGCGUGUCACACAUGGCAGUUGCCUCCAGUGGUAGCUCACGUUCGCCCAUAGCCAAUGGCAAUUUGGAACGCUGCAGCAGUGGUAGUUCACAAAAUGGUGCGGUGCGACGUGCUGCCCCGCCACCACCCGUUUGGGAACAACAACAGCCAAUGCCACAAGCACAGACGCAACAUGUGGCGCUACAACAACAGCAACAAUUGCAAGCACAACAACAACACCAAUCACAAAUGCAAGUGCAGCGCAUACCGUCGAUGAAUGGCGGCGCAGUGGCGGUGAAUGCUGCCGGCGUGCAAGUGCGUCCAAUGUCGCAAAUGUAUGCGAAUGGUGGUGUUAGUGGUCAGCCAUUACCGCUGCCACUGCCGUCACAGCAACAGCCGCAAACACAGCAGCAGCUUAUGGAUAGUGCGCUGAUGAGCGCGGCAGGCGAUCAGGCUGCACUGUUGGCGCAAGCGCCAAUGCCGGUAUCCAAUGUGACUGAUCAGCAGUUGCAAGCCGCCCAAGCGGACGAUGAACCGCUGCCUGCUGGCUGGGAAAUACGCUUCGAUCAGUACGGCCGCCGCUAUUACGUCGACCACAAUACGCGUUCCACCUACUGGGAGAAACCGACGCCACUACCGCCCGGUUGGGAGAUACGCAAAGAUCCACGCGGCCGCGUCUACUAUGUGGACCACAAUACGCGCACAACCACCUGGCAGCGACCGAACAGCGAGCGUCUUAUGCAUUUUCAACAUUGGCAAGGACAGCGUGCGCAUGUCGUAGCACAGGGUAAUCAACGUUUCCUCUACUCACAGCAACAACAACAGCCUACAGCGGUGACAGCCACGGUGACGCAAGACGAUGAGGAUGCCUUGGGACCGCUGCCCGAUGGCUGGGAAAAGAAGGUGCAAUCGGAUAAUCGUGUAUACUUUGUGAAUCACAAGAAUCGCACGACACAGUGGGAGGACCCGCGCACGCAGGGUCAAGAAGUUAGUUUAAUGAACGAGGGUCCACUACCGCCCGGCUGGGAGAUACGCUAUACCACUACAGGUGAACGCUUCUUUGUCGAUCACAAUACACGUCGCACCACCUUCGACGAUCCACGUCCGGGCGCACCCAAAGGCGCUAAAGGUGUGUAUGGCGUGCCACGCGCCUAUGAGCGUUCGUUCCGUUGGAAGCUCUCACAAUUCCGCUACCUCUGCCAGAGUAAUGCUUUGCCGUCACACAUUAAAAUAACCGUGACACGACAGACGCUCUUCGAAGAUUCAUACCACCAAAUUAUGCGUUUGCCUGCCUAUGAGCUGCGACGUCGCCUCUAUAUCAUUUUCCGUGGUGAGGAGGGUCUCGACUAUGGUGGUGUGUCGCGUGAAUGGUUCUUUUUGCUAUCACAUGAGGUGCUCAAUCCCAUGUAUUGUCUCUUCGAGUAUGCCAACAAAAACAACUAUAGUUUGCAAAUCAACCCGGCCUCGUAUGUGAAUCCAGAUCACUUGCAGUAUUUCAAAUUUAUUGGCCGUUUCAUAGCGAUGGCAUUGUAUCAUGGUCGUUUUAUAUAUUCCGGAUUCACAAUGCCCUUCUACAAGCGUAUGUUGAACAAGAAAUUGACUAUAAAAGACAUUGAAACCAUCGAUCCGGAGUUUUAUAAUUCGCUUAUUUGGGUGCGUGACAAUAAUAUUGACGAGUGUGGAUUGGAGCUUUGGUUUAGCGUCGACUUUGAGGUGCUUGGACAGAUAAUACAUCAUGAAUUGAAGGAAAAUGGCGAAAAAGAACGAGUGACGGAGGAGAAUAAAGAGGAAUAUAUAACACUCAUGACUGAAUGGCGGAUGACGAGAGGUAUUGAGCAGCAGACAAAAACGUUCCUGGAAGGCUUCAACGAGGUGGUGCCGCUCGAAUGGCUUAAGUAUUUCGACGAACGUGAAUUGGAGCUCAUAUUGUGCGGCAUGCAAGAUGUAGAUGUGGAUGAUUGGCAACGGAAUACGAUUUACAGGCAUUACAAUCGCAACUCCAAGCAAGUGAUGUGGUUCUGGCAGUUUGUGCGCGAUACGGACAAUGAAAAGCGUGCACGCUUGCUGCAAUUUGUUACGGGUACGUGUCGUGUGCCCGUCGGCGGUUUCGCUGAGUUAAUGGGCUCCAAUGGACCGCAACGCUUUUGCAUUGAAAAAGUUGGCAAAGAAACAUGGUUGCCGCGUUCGCAUACCUGCUUCAAUCGUUUGGACUUGCCGCCGUAUAAGAGUUACGAUCAGCUAGUGGAGAAAUUGACAUUUGCCAUUGAAGAGACUGAAGGCUUCUGCCAGGAGUAGAGCGGAAAGCGGCGAGUAGUGACCAUUGUGGACAAGGGAGUAAAGAGGACGCCGAAGCAGUUGUGGGCGGCGCUCUUGUUGAGUGUGUGGUGUAAUUGGCAACCAAAUAAAGAUUAAAAUAAAGCAGCUAAGCUUUAAUGGAAAAACUUGACAUAGAAAGAGAGAGAGAGAGCGAGAGAAAGAGAGAUCAAGUGUGCAUGAUUCGCAAAUCAUUUCAACGAGUAAGCGAGCAAUAGAGAGAGAGAGCGAGAGAGCUAGCGAUAAUGCUGUUGUAAUAAGUUCUAAUUAAAAUUACAAAUAAAUAAAUAAAGAACUAUAUUAUUAGAAAAAAUUUA